rnacentral:tRNA from 1 species
AUAGGCUCCAUACCCAACGUGGGGCUUGAACUCACAACCCUGAGAUUAAGAGUCACAUGCUCUACCAACUGAGCCAAU